CGCCCUGAGUGGCGCGGGGUGCCCCCGUGCUGUUCAUGACGGCGCGGGGUGCCCCCGUGCUGUUCGAGGGGGCGCAGGGUGCCC
rnacentral:tRNA from 1 species